UACGUAGGGUGCGAGCGUUGUCCGGAAUUAUUGGGCGUAAAGAGCUCGUAGGCGGUCUGUCGCGUCGAUCGUGAAAACUUGGGGCUUAACCCUGAGCUUGCGGUCGAUACGGGCAUGACUGGAGUUCGGCAGGGGAGACUGGAAUUCCUGGUGUAGCGGUGAAAUGCGCAGAUAUCAGGAGGAACACCAAUGGCGAAGGCAGCUCGCUGGGACGUAACUGACGCUGAGACGCGAAAGCGUGGGGAGCAAACAGG
rnacentral:rRNA from 1 species